rnacentral:rRNA from 1 species
UACGUAUGGUGCAAGCAUUAUCCGGAUUUACUGGGCGUAAAGGGAGCGCAGGCGGCGCGCCAAGUCUGAUGUGAAACCCCGGGGCUCAACCCCGGGCAUGCAUUGGAAACUGGCGGGCUGGAGUGCCGGAGAGGUAAGCGGAAUUCCUAGUGUAGCGGUGAAAUGCGUAGAUAUUAGGAGGAACACCAGUGGCGAAGGCGGUUUACUGGACGGCAACUGACGCUGAGGCUCGAAAGCGUGGGGAGCAAACAGG